CUCAGAUACAUCCCCAAUAGAUUCUACCUUAACAAUCUGAAUAUCACUGUCCUCCAUAUCCAUACUGUCUUCAGAUGGAUGAAUACAAGGGCCUGUGUGCAUCGUUCUACAAUGUGGCUCAUCUGAAGAAAACUCGCAGCAGUCAAGUAAUUUACCAGUUCCAUCUCAGGGAAUUCCAGCACACCACUAUAACAGGAUAAGAGCAAUUGUCUCCCCACUUCAGAACUCUGUAAUAUUGAGAUUUUCACCUCUCUGGAAUCAUUCAGUAAAAACUGGUCUCUUAGGAAGGGGGAACCUGCAGCAAACACAAUUUUAUGCCCCUGUACCUCAAUAUCAUCUAUGAGAACUGUAACAUCACAAAAUUUAUUCUCUUCUCUUAAUUUGUUCAUUUUUUGUAACAUUGAAUCUCCAUAAUUUUCAAACUUGAAGUGAAGGAGAUCUGAUCUUUCAGACAUUUUGGCAGACCUAAAGAACAAAAAUGUAAAAAGGUUGAAUUUAAGGAAAUUUAAACAAUUAAGAAACCUGGAUUUACCUUCCAAAACCAAAUUUGUUGUCAUGCUUUGUAUGUAUGCAUAUGAAAUUUUCUUUGAAAGAGGAAGCUUUUGAUGGCUAUUAAAAAUUGCUCCUUACCAAUAUCAAGGGUCAAUUGCACCUAAAGAGUAGACAUAUAUAAGUGUAAAUAGCUGGGCAUUCACUCAAUUUUUUAGACACUUAAUAUAAGAAUAUAUAUUAUAUUGGAUAAUGCUAAGAAUAUUUAUUCACUUCUCAAAUGAGAAUUCAGUCAGGUUUCAAAAGCAAACUAAAACAUCCCAACCAAAGUAAAGAUGAAGUGAUUAGUUUCUUUUGUAUGAAACUGUGGACCUGGGUCUCCUAAAUCAAAAUACUCUUCCUUUGCUUUGUAUUUUAAAGAACCACAACAACAUUGUUUGCCACAUGCAUUCCUGGACAGUCCCUUUCCUGUCUAGAUCAGUGUGAAUUCAUUUUAUUUUCAUUUCUGUUUUGUUUUUCCACUGUGAAUACAUAUGAGUAAUUCUGUGAUAAAAUGAAAAAGUUACAGAUGUAGAGGGACAAUGUUUGGCAAGUAUUCAAACAUAUUUCUUUAUUCUGUUCAUUGUGGAUAAAUCUAAACUCUGUUUUAAGAACAUUUCUUGAGUUCGGCACCUUGGUACAUGCCUGUAAUUCCCCUUACUCAGGAGGCUAAGGCAGGAGGAUCACAAGUUCAAGGCAGUCUCAGCAACUUAGUGAGGCUUAAGCAAUUCAGUGAGAUCCUGCCUCAGAAUAAAAAAAGGUCAGGGAUGUGACCCUUGGGGGAUUCAAUCCCUGGUACCUUCCAAACAAACAAAAUCCUUGAUAUAUAAAGAAAAUACUUGAUACAGAAAAGUCACGUGGUAGGAACAUUAGUAGGAGUAAUAUAGAUCUAAUCAACCCCUUCUAGAUUCUGUUCUUAUCUCUUUUUCCCUAUUUACCUAUCAGUACUUUCACAUGGACUACUAAAUCCGAUUCAUAAGUAUUUCUAUUGGCUUCCAGUUUCUAUUCCCUCUUAUACAUCACAUGCCAUCUUUUAAACACAUGAUUAUAUCUGACCCUGCAUGAAAUCCUUCAGUGACUUCCUGUUGUUUCUUGAAAGAAGACUAACCUCUUGAAUAAGCUUGUUAACUAAACCUAAUAAUAAUUAAGGCAAACAUAGGCAUAACCUUUUCAACCACAGAGAAAGUAUCUUUGCCAAAACCCUUUGCACAGGGCUGGGGGAUGUAGCUCAGUGGUAGAGGACUUGCCUAGCAUGCCUGAGGCCCCGGCUCUCUGAUCCUCAGCACUGUUUUUUAAAAACAAAACAACAACAACAACAACAACAAAACACUAUGCAUAUUGGUCUGUUGACAUAGCAGUGCUUUUGGAUAGUCUCCAUGUUCAAUUUCCACACUCCAGAUUUUCUCAGAACUUGGCUUCCCACGUGUCUCUCUAAAGGGAAAAGAUGAAUUAACCAUACUAAUGGUCUAGUAGUCAUUGUAAAGAUAAUAAACUGACAGUCUCUUUUCAUAUCUUAAAGUUCUACAAUCUCAAUACAUCUGAAAAUUCACCUUGAAUUUUUUGUAUUCGUCAGUCUUUUAGUUCAGUUAAAUGAGACAGCUAGUUUUCCUGGCCUUAUCUAAACCUAAGGCCAAUCUCUGACAUUUUAAGUUCAAUAACACUGAUUUUCAGAGGCUCACAGAAUAUCAGUUCAUGAUAACAGAGUCCAAGUUUUGUUCCUAUUCCUCAGUACCUGGUAUGAAAGGUCAUUAUUCUAUUGACUCUACAUCUUAUCACAUAUGUUUCCUUAGUAUAGAACACUAACUUCUAGCCAGUUUUUAUUUCCUCUGAGAGGCCCUUCCCUGAUCCCUUAGAGUAAAAGAGUUGUCUCUAGGGUCCUUAGCAAAGUAUUUCUAUCAAAACCCUAAAAUACUUCAUUAAAUACUUCCUUCCCCUCCAAACUCUGGUUACAUGGCAUGAGGGAAACCUCCAUCCUAUUCAAUGGACUAAUGCUGGAGCCCAUAUCUUCUUGGGUGAAAUAGUCUUUUCUUUUGCUCUAAAUUCUACUUAUUGCUUGCCUCAUUACUGGCUAAACUCUCUUCUAUUCAAACUGGUGUGUACUCCCUUCACCUACUAUUAUAUAAACACACAGCAGGUGACAAUUUGUAUUGGCUGAACCUAUAGGGUUAAUCUGAAAGUAUUAAGAAGGAAGAAUUGUUAUGAAGACCAUCUUAUUGCCUGAAUAGACAUUACAAAUCUGAAGCCACGAGGGCUUACAAAGGAAUAAAAAAGGGAAUGAUGAGCAAGUAACAAAAGAUCACUUAGAGAACUUGAAAACUCACUGGAUAUAGAGAAUGAAAACCAUAAAUGUGUAGAUUAUAUACCAGGUAGGUCAGCUGAAUGUAUAUGAAAAAUGGGAACUGGUAUGGCACAGUUGAUUAAUAAAGUAUAUGCUUUCCCUCUGUAUAGCAUUCUGAAUAUAUGGAUAACAAAUGAUCACAAUAAGUAUUAAAAACUUCACUGAGAAAGAAGGGAUGUAGAGAAGCAAAUGUAUCUAAGGAAAGGCAGUAUCAAAUAUAGAGGAAACUAGAAGAUACAGGAAGUAUAUCAGUAAUCUAAAGCAGCAAACUCUUUAUCAUUGGUCAGUUUUAGCAAUUGCAGUAGCUUAAAAUGUCCACUGUCAAACUGGAAUGGUGAAUGUUGCAGUUGAUAACAACCAGAAAUUAUAAAAAAGUUAAGUGGCUAAACAAAAAUGGGAUUCUAAUUUUAAGAGUUCAGCUAGUCUUGACUGCUUUAUAGCUGAUCAUGAUACCCUCAAGUCAGUAUUUUUCUACUCAUUGUUUCCAACUACAGUGUGAUAGCACUCACAGUUUUAGAGGGAUAAUUGUUCCUUGAUACUCUAAACAUGAGGAAUGGUAAUACAAUUUCAUUUACUUUUUAUUCAUCAGUUCUCAAGAAACUUACCAUUAGUAGCCAAACAGAUAUCUUAGAAAAGUGCUUGCUUUAAUCAAUCUGCUAUAGUCCAAGAAUGUGAGGGAAAGUUACUCUUUUUAGGAAAUUUUUCCAAAUACCUGUCAUUUUGCUGCACUGUCUCCUUCAAACUCUUAUUUCCAGACCAUUUAGUGUAUCCUUUAAUUGUUUCCUGGCAUGAGUUCUCUUUUCAGUAGAUUGUUAGUUAUUUGAUGGAAAGGACCAACUGUUGGUUAUGCUUCACACAGUUUAUUAAACAAAGAUCAGCAGAAUAAUGCACUCGUAAUGUUCCCUAAGGAAUUAUUAUUGAGCGAUGAAAGGAAUGCUCUUUAGUAUCAUGAUACUCUGUUGAGUACUUGGGGUAAAACAUUUUUCAGGGGUUUGAUUCCCAAAAUAGUUUGGCCACAUAAAACCAAAAUUUAAACACUUUGUUUUGAUGUUUUAAAAAUAGGUAAUAAGGAAAAAAACAAAAAAACAAAAUAGGUAUUAAAGGGCUGGAGUGUAGCUCAUUGUUAAAGUGCUUGCUUAGUAUACGCCCAAGGUUCUAUUGAUCCCUAGGAUCACCUAUACAGAUAUGGCCACAAAAUAUGUAAUAUAAAAAUUAUUAAAUUUCUAAUAAACUAGCUUAAUUUUUUAUUUUUUAAAAAUAUUUAUUUUUUAGUUUUAGGUGGACACAAUAUCUUUAUUUAUUUAUUUUUAUGUGGUGCUGAGAAUCGAACCUAGUGCCUCACACAUGCUAGGCAAGCACCCUACCACUUGAGCCACAUCCCUAGCCCCUUAAUUUUUUAAAUAAGAGAAAUAAUAAUACCUAACCUUUUCUGCAUCCUUGUUAUAAGCCAAGUGUAAUUCUAAAUGUUUUACCUAAAUUGACUUGUUUAAUCCUGAAAAUCUCUAUAGCUAGGUAUCAUUAUUAUCCAAAACAACUUGCUGAAAUUAAGUAGGAAGUGUUAAGUGUUGGAGCUAAACCGUGUGCCCAAGCUGCAUUUAUGCCAAAUUCCAUAUAUGAAACUAAGCUAGAUGCAGUUUUGCCUAAAGGAUUAUAUUUUAACUGUAUAAUAGUUCAGAUUUCUCUCCUCAAGAGUAGGCCAAGAAAAUCUAUUGAGCUGUAUACUUAAGAUUUGUAUGCUUUUGUAUGUUUUAUUAAUGCUUUAGUACAAAGCUUAUGUUUAGAAACAAAAACUACCACUUAAAGCCAAAUUUGCAUCAAGUAUAAAAAAUUUUAAUGGUAUAAAUCAUUUCUGCAUUGGUUAUAUUCCUGAUUGCAUUUAAUGUCUUUUGCCUUGUUAUACCUUCCUUUCCCAUCUAACUUUAUUAUUAGUUUUCCAUCUUUUAUAUAUUUACAUUUGUUGAUUGAAACUUAAUACCAUUUGCAAAUAACACAAAACAAACAUGAA